rnacentral:rRNA from 1 species
GAGGAAAAGAAACUAACAAGGAUUCCCCUAGUAACGGCGAGUGAAGCGGGAAGAGCUCAAAUUUGUAAUCUGGCACUUUCAGUGUCCGAGUUGUAAUCUCGAGAAGUAUUUUCCGCGCCGGACCGCAUACAAGUCUGUUGGAAUACAGCGUCAUAGUGGUGAGAACCCCGUAACUGAUGCGGAUGCCCGGUGCUUUGUGAUAUACUUUCGAAGAGUCGAGUUGUUUGGGAAUGCAGCUCAAAUUGGGUGGUAAAUUCCAUCUAAAGCUAAAUAUUGGAGCAAGACCGAUAGCGAACAAGUACCGUGAGGGAAAGAUGAAAAGCACUUUGGAAAGAGAGUUAACAGUACGUGAAAUUGUUGGAAGGGAAACGCUUGAAGUCAGACUUGCUAUUCGGAGUUCAGCCGCAAGGUGUAUUCUUCGAUUUGCAGGCCAGCAUCAGUUUUUGGGGGUGGAAAAUCGUGGUUUGAAGGUAGCAGUUUCGGCUGUGUUAUAGCUUUCCACUGGAUUCAUCUUCGGGGACUGAGGAACGCAGUACGCUUUUUGCAAGGCUUUCGAGCUUUUCGUACUUAGGAUGCUGGUGGAAUGGCUUUAAACGACC